rnacentral:lncRNA from 1 species
UAUUGUUUGAAAUUAAUAUUUUGUUGUUUCCUCUGCUAAAGAUCAGAUUUUUAGGUAAACAAAUAUCUUCAUGUUUCAGAAUUUUCAGUGUAAGUUUUAGAGAGGCUUAUAUGUGGUAGUGGUGUGGGGAAUAUGUUUGGACAAAAUGGGGCAUUGUUUGGUCAUAAUUUUUUUUUUAUUUGGGUAUAGACAGACAGGUUUAAAAAAUAAGUGCAUCUCCUUGGUAAGAUUUUUUUUUUUUAACCUUA